CUCUCGUCCAGGCCCUCCAUAGUCACCAGAUAGCGACCGACCUCGGCGGCGCAUUCGCCCCAGCCUACUGCGUGUUCAUUUCCUGGGAAUGUUAUUCCCCGACGAAGAUGCCGUGUUCCGAAAGAAAGCAGGUGUCAAAAGAUGAUAUCGCCGGUUUUUCCGGCGCUUUCCUCGAAUCACGCUCCGGCCGGCUCGCAGAUUGACAACGUGGAAGUGCAUCUGCGGACGGGUUCGACAUCUGUCCCAGACCCGAUCCGUCGAGCGCCUCCCUCGCGAGGGGUGCCGCGCGGGACACCUCAUCCCCGGGCCCGCCGCCACCAAUCGUGGGAACACCACUUCCAGAGAGUCGUUGACUUCCUGUGCUUCCCACAGGAUCUACGCGCCCGGUCCAGCACCUGCUCGCGUGGAUCCCGUUUACGCUCGAGCUCUUUUGCGGCCUUCACGGGAAACCAUAUGCCACUACGGUUUUCUUGCGAUUUUCUCCACGACGUCGUAUUUUUUAAAAAGAUUUAUCAUGAAUUUAUCAUUCAAUAACGGAAAGAAAGAAA